rnacentral:misc_RNA from 1 species
GAUGAAGAACGUAGUGAAAUGCGAUAAGUAAUGUGAAUUGCAGAAUUCAGUGAAUCAUCGAAUCUUUGAACGCACCUUGCGCCCUUUGGCUAUUCCGAAGGGCAUGCCUGUUUGAGUAUCAUGAACACCUCAACUCUCAUGGUUCGCCAUGAUGAGCUUGGACUCUGGGGGUCUUGCUGGCCUAUGGUCAGCUCCUCUCAAAUAAAUCAGCUUGCCAGUGUUUGGUGGCAUCACAGGUGUGAUAACUAUCUACGCUUGUGGUUUUCCAUCAGGUAACCUUCAGUGAUGGAGGUUCGCUGGAGCUCAUAAAUGUCCCUCCUCAGCGAGGACAGCUUUUUGAACGUUUGAUCUCAAAUCAGGUAGGACUACCCGCUGAACUUAAGCAUAUCAAUAAGCGGAGGA